UACGUAGGGGGCAAGCGUUGUCCGGAUUUACUGGGCGUAAAGAGCGUGUAGGCGGCCAGGCAGGUCUGUUGUGAAAACUGGAGGCUCAACUUCCAGACGUCGACAGAAACCGCUUGGCUAGAGUCCGGAAGAGGAGAGUGGAAUUCCCAGUGUAGCGGUGAAAUGCGUAGAUAUUGGGAGGAACACCGGUGGCGAAGGCGGCCCCCUGGACCGGUACUGACGCUGAGGCGCGAAAGCGUGGGUAGCAAACGGG
rnacentral:rRNA from 1 species